rnacentral:tRNA from 1 species
GCCAUCGUAGCUCAAUGGUAGAGCAAAUCCCUUGUAAGGAUGAGGUUGGGGGUUCAAGUCCUCUCGGUGGCUCCA